UAUGGCUCAGAACGAACGUGGGCGGCGUGGAUUAGGCAUGCAAGUCGAGGGAAUCCCAGCAAUGGGGGAACCGGCGUAAGGGGCAGUAAGGCGUGGGUAACCUACCCUGGGGUUCGGCAUAGCCCGCAGAGAUGCGGGGUAAUCCCGGAUGACCUCGUGAGAGCAAAGAUUCAUCGCCCUGGGAGGGGCCCACGUGGUAUUAGCUUGUUGGUGAGGUAACGGCUCACCAAGGCGAAGAUGCCUAGCGGGUGUGAGAGCACGACCCGCGCCACUGGCACUGAGACACUGGCCAGACACCUACGGGUGGCUGCAGUCGAGGAUCUUCGGCAAUGGGCGCAAGCCUGACCGAGCGACGCCGCGUGUGCGAUGAAGGCCUUCGGGUUGUAAAGCACUGUCGAGGGGGAGAAAAGCCCCGCAAGGGGUCUGAUCUAUCCCUGGAGGAAGCACGGGCUAAGUUCGUGCCAGCAGCCGCGGUAAGACGAACCGUGCGAACGUUGUUCGGAAUCACUGGGCUUAAAGGGCGCGUAGGCGGACCGCCAAGUCCGUGGUGAAAUCCUCCAGCUCAACUGGAGAACUGCCGCGGAUACUGGAGGUCUCGAGGGAGGUAGGGGCAAGCGGAACUGUGGGUGGAGCGGUGAAAUGCGUUGAUAUCCACAGGAACUCCGGUGGCGAAGGCGGCUUGCUGGACCUUUUCUGACGCUGAGGCGCGAAAGCCAGGGGAGCAAACGGGAUUAGAUACCCCGGUAGUCCUGGCCCUAAACGAUGGGUACUAGAUAGUAGACUAGACAUGGGUUUACUGUCGAAGCAAAAGUGCUAAGUACCCCGCCUGGGGAGUAUGG
rnacentral:rRNA from 1 species